UUCCUUCAUCCUCUCCUUCUAACCAGCUCUAACUAACUGUCACCAACUGUCUCUAUUCAAAUCCUCCUUUCAGCAUUCCAUGCGUGAUUGCUAUGGUAACAUUUGCCCAACCUUCCUCCAGCACAUUGCAUGUACAUUUCCCCAGAGCCUCAAAUAUCCAUAGGGAGCCCAGAUGAAUAUCCAUUCCAGAGCCCAGGAGGAGCAACGGAGAAGGCCCGAUCCUAAGUCGCUGCCAGGCAAGCUGGCCGCAGCCAGAGACAGACCUCUCCUGGUGAACUUAAAGUCUGGAGGGGAUCAUACUAAAGAAAACGCUCACACAGCCAUUUUACCUCUAGCUACCAGCUGAUUCCUCCUGUGAUGCAACAGACACAGGCACGGUCACUGGCUGGGGGAAAGCGUCUUGGGAAGCAGGCCACCCGGAGCCAUCCUCCCAACUUUCAACUUUCAACUAUCAACUUUCCUCACCCAACUUCAGAUUUUGGUACCAAGUGGAUGGAGAAGUUGUAGAAUAUCGGAUGGAUGGCCCAGGAACUGGAGUUGGGGACUUGCGCAACUGAGCCUUCCUAGGGAGGAAGCCACCAUGGAGAAGGCCCUGCUCCUGAUGCCUGCAUAACUGAUCAUAAUGACAAGUCAAUGAUACACAAAUGUGACUUCUAAAAUGCAAAUGAGUACUUUAAAAAAAGAUUGAAACAUUUCAAAGCUUAUUUUUCAUGUUUCCAUAUGACUGCUCCUGCUACUGGUUAUCAUGGGCCCCGUGCCAAGCCACUGUUUUUUCUCCAUCACAUCUUGCGACUCUACAAUUCUGUGAUACUGUUGUCUUUUGUGGCAGCUUUUUUGUUGUAUUUAGCAGGUUACAGGGGGACCUAGAUUUGGGCAACAUUGAGGGGAAUUAGGGAAUUAGGGGAAUUGAUGGGAAUUAGGGAAUUCAACAUUGAGGGGAAUUGGGGAAUUAGGCUUGUGAAUUUCAUCAAGAGCUCCCCACCAUUCCCCCGUAACUCAAGCAUUGAUAGGAAAUAGGCUUCUUUUGUAGUAUUUUGGACUGCACAGAAUUUUCAGCCUAUGAAAACUUGGCUCAGUGGUAGAGAACAUGCUUUGCAUGCAGAAAGCACUUUAAUCUCUAGCAUCUCCAGGUAGGGCUGUGAAAGACCCUUGUCUGAAAUCCUGGAGUGCUGCUACUAGUGCUCACAUGCCACAGUCUACCCUAAGUUGACACAAGAUGCUGCUGUGCAGCAGUGUCCUACUCCAAAACACUCCACCCCUGUUUGCAAGCAUACAGAGUCUCUGUGACUUCUAAGGACUUCAUGACUGCUGCACCAUGAUACUCAAUGGGAGCUGUAUCGCUACAGCUGUGACGCUUUGCUCGGAGCCACAGAAGCUCUGUGUCUUUGCAAACAGCGGCAGAGUGGUUUGGUGUAAGAAUACUGCUGCAUGGGAACAUCUUGCUUCAACAGAUGGCAGACUGCACAGUUAGUCAGUCAGUCAGUGAGGAAGCAAUGCUGAGCUAGAUGGACUGGUGGUUUAGUCUAAGGCCAUUUCGUAUGCAGGCAGGAUGAUAUCAUCAUUUAGUCAACCAGGUUUGGUCACUCACUGAUGUCACAAAAUCCAAUAAGCUUCCUGACAAUGCCAUAUAGCUAGUCAAAAUUGGCCAUGUGAUGAUGUCACAAAGCCAGAUCAGAAUACAGGCAAUGCUUCCUGCUCUCACUAAAUGGGCAACCAUUUCCACCAGGUUUUCCAGAUCCCCCCCAACAAUUGCCAAAAAGGGGUAGUGCAUUUUGGGGGUGGGGAAGAGAGAGAGAGAGAGAGAGAGGGGUACGCUCCACAUUUUGGGUCUGAUUUAUUAGUAUUGACUCAACUUUAAAAUUAA